ACCACAAAAUCAACCUUACUUCUCUCUGAGUUUCCAUGGCAAUUUCCAUUCCAGCGUCGUUUAAAAAACAAGAAAGAAAUCCUGUCCCUUUUAACACAACACACACGUUCAGUUGUUCUUUGAUGAAAACAAAACAUCACCGGCCUCUCAGAGGGCUCAAAAGCUGACCUCUGACCCCACAAUUUGACGCACCGCCUCAGGGGUCAGGGAUGAAUGAGGUGUGACGACGAGGCAAAGCAGGAGGGCAGGAAGGAGGUGAGGACGUGCACGAUGGACGGGGCUGAAAGGUUCCUGCGUUAGCUCAGCGGUGGAUGUAACGUCAGCUCAUGCCUGCUGCUUUUUAAGGAUAAACUGGGCUUUAUUUAUUCUUAACCUCUGAAGUAAUAGUCGAGAACUCAACUUGAACUCGCUGGUUCUUCCCGCGCCGCAGUGCUUUGAUCAGUUUCAUCAGAAAAGGAUUAAUUCAUGAGGUGUGACGCAUGCCAUCGUGCGGGCCGACUGUGAGCACGAGUUCACAAACAGCCUGACUGAUGGCAGUUCAAAUACAGAACGUCAGCACAUCACCUGACAAGUGUGUGAUGUCCUGAGCAAUCAUGCAGCAGUCUAGCGGUUGGCUUUGGCAGCAGAGAUUAGCGUCUGUGCAGAAGGAAACUAUUUUCUAAUCAUGUGGUGAGCGCCAAAGUCCUGUUUACAGACACACUCCUAUAUGCUUAAUCUCAGCGGCGAGCGAAUCUUUCGGCAGGCGGACACCUCGCAUUCCUCCAUUCAACAUAACCAGAGCCAUGCAGGGAGCUUGGAGGGCGAUUAGACAGAAUUAGCGUGCUGACGGAUUGAUGAAUGGAACAGCAGAUAGCCACUGUCCACCAGUGCAGAGAAUACUGACAAAAAGUGAAGGUACUAAAAAGAAGAAAUGAGUAAAACAUAUGUAUGAAAAUGUAAGGUGCUGUUAAAAAGACAUAAAAAGUCAGUUUUGAGUUCAAUGUUAACAUUUUUCUUUACCAAUUCAGCAUGAAGAUUUGGUAAUUACAUUUCAUGAAACUCCAAUUUUGAAUGAAAUAUGAGGUAGGUUAAAAAGUAAGGUCCUAAUAAAUGUUUCCAUGCUCGCAUAGUAAAUAAAUAUGUCAGUGGUAUGUUUUAAACGUUUAAAACUCUGGAUCAAAAUUUACAAAAUUCCAAAAGUGUAUAUAAAACUUAGUUUUGUGUUAAAAGUCAAAAAUCUAUUUAUACAUAGUAUCAAGUAAGAUGAGGUAAAAUGUAUAAGUUAAAAUUCCAAAUUCUUAUUCAACAUGU